rnacentral:rRNA from 1 species
CCUACGGGCGGCAGCAGUGGGGAAUAUUGCACAAUGGGCGAAACCCUGAUGCAGCGACGCCGCGUGAGCGAUGAAGGCCUUCGGUUUGUAAAGCUCUGUCCGCAGGGAAGAAAAUGACGGUACCUGAGUAAGAAGCCCCGGCUAACUACGUGCCAGCAGCCGCGGUAAUACGUAGGGGGCAAGCGUUAUCCGGAUUUACUGGGUGUAAAGGGGGCGUAGAUGGCUGUGUAAGUCCGGAGGGAAAGGCGGGGGCUCAACCCCCGGACUGCCUUUGAAAUUGGAAAUCUGGAGUGCAGGAGAGGUAAGUGGAAUUCCUAGUGUAGCGGUGAAAUGCGUAGAUAUUAGGAGGAACACCAGUGGCGAAGGCGGCUGUCUGGACUGUAACUGACGCUGAGGCACGAAAGCGUGGGGAGCAAACAGGAUUAGAUACCCGUGUAGUC